rnacentral:lncRNA from 1 species
CACUAUAAAAAUCAAAUACAAACUUCAUUUAUACAACUGUUGAACUGUCAUGCAGAGUACGACAACAGAUAAGCUGUGAGUUUUAAUACAAAUAUAUGUAACUCUCAUGGUGCCUCGACCACAACCUUACAAUGGUGUUUUACAUAAAAGUACAGUCAAAAACUGUUUUAGAAAUUAAAAUUCUUGGGAAGUACUCAAGGAAACCUUUGUACAUGGGAGGCCAUGAGUCUAGGUUAUGAUAGAUAUCAUAUGUCCACAGAAUUAUCCUUGAUUGACCCAAAAGUGCCCAAAGAAAAACAAGAAGAUUACUAUCAUCUUCUUUCCAAUGGUGAGUCUUCUCCUGACAUAUAACUAUCUCCGUUGUCUCCAAGUGAAAAUUAUAUUUCAAAUAAACUCCAAGAUCAUAUAGGUAGUGCUCGUAGAUAUACUCAGCAAGUGGAUGUGCACAACCAUGUCUUAUGAUAACACGAGGUUGUAUGUCAUUAGACAUCUUGUAUAAUAGUGGCAAAACAUCCUUCCAAAGUUGGGUUCGCC